GUGAAUCAUCGAAUUUUUGAACGCAAAUUGCACUCUCUGGUAUUCCGGAGCGUAUUCCUGUUUGAGGGUCUGAUUAUAUACAUAUCGGUGUGUUUGCUGCCUUUCGUGGUGACGCACCGGAUUUGGUUAGUCUUGCCUUCGGUUGAGUGAUCUAAUUUUUUGCAUGAUUUUUUUCGAACGUUUUUAAAUGAUUUUACGUACGUUUGAGAUAUCGAAUACUAGUUGUGGUCAUCAUCAUGAUUCGCGGCGAUAAUUUUUCAUCAAA
rnacentral:misc_RNA from 1 species